CUGAACAGAUACCAUAUAACUUAUAUAAGUCUGAGAUCGGUCAGAUGUUUCUACCAACUACCGUAAUAGUUGUCUAUAGGUUUUUCACGAAAAACA
rnacentral:ncRNA from 1 species